ensembl:lncRNA
AUCCAAUUAAAAAGAUUUAUUAAUGGUAGGAAACGAAAGCAAAUCAGCGCGCUGGGCAGCAGUUAUUCUAACUACCGCACUUUCGUGCCCCAUUCCCCCCCAACUUAUUGGGUCUUCUCCUCCGGAAGUGUGACGUUCUGGUGUCUUUUCUGCGCAGGUGCACUCUGUUGCUAGGUGGUCGUUUUCUGCCUUUUGGUGGUCGUGGGAUGAAGGCCAGUAGUCUUCCUCAGGGCUGUUCUUGUGAUCUGGGAAUUCUCUCAAAACAAGAAAUGUUAUCUCUAGGCACGUUUACUCGCAUUCCACAAGAUUACGGAACUGUCCUUGAAGAUAUUCGCUUAGGUGCUUUGAUGCCUAACUACCUCUACUCCCUAAUUUAGUUUUAACUCCCUAAAGCAGUGUGUAACGAAGUUGUCCUUGAGAGAUAUUCUGGAAUGCUUGGCAAAAUGAGAACAUGUUCAGACAAGUGAAAACUCUAAGUGAAGAUUCUAUUCUAUAGAUGUGAAAACUCUAUAUUAUGAACAAAAAGGCCUUAUUUUCCUAACAUUCAGACAAGUGAAAACUCUAAGUGAAGAUUCUAUUCUAUAGAUGUGAAAACUCUAUAUUAUGAACAAAAAGGCCUUAUUUUCCUAACAUUCAGACAAGUGAAAACUCUAAGUGAAGAUUCUAUUUUAUAGAUGUGAAAACUCUAUAUUAUGAACAAAAAGGCCUUAUUUUCUUAACAAUAUCCCCCCUUUUUAUUUUAAACCUCUUUUUGUUCACUAAAGCGCUCUAAUUCCCUUUUGCUUAAUUCUAAAUAAUCUUCAGUUUCUACUUCGCUAAGUGGCUCGUAUUUUGGUUUUACCAUCAUUAAAUGUGCAGCUUCUAAUCUAUUUUUCACUAGUGUAAUAAGCUUGUUAAGAAUACAUGGCCCAAAAGUAAGUACUAGAAUUAGUAAAAUUACUGGUCCUGCAAGGGUGGAUAAUAGAGUGGUUAGCCAGGGAGAAUAGGUAAGCCAGGAUUCAUACCAGCUCUGCUGGGAUUCUCUUUCUCUUUUUCGUUGUUCUAUUUGUUUGCGUAAUUCAGCCAUCGUGUCUUUUACAAUACCCGUGUGAUCUACAUAAGUGCAGCAUUCUUCCUGCAAAGCAACACAAAGCCCCCCCUGCUGUAAGAAUAACAAAUCUAAUCCCCUUCGGUUUUGGAGGACUACCUCAGAAAGGGAUUUCACUGAUUUAACUAGUUCACUUAUGGCUUUAUCUAUUCUACUCAGAUCUUCAUCUACAGAUGUGCGCAGAGCUUUCAUACCCUGGUUUUGACUCACUAAGGAGGCAACCCCUGUUCCUACUCCUGCUCCUCCUAAGCUGAGCAAAAUUGCUACCGUUAGUGUUGUAAGUGGUUCCCUUUUAGCCAGGUAGUGUUCAGGGGUCAUUUGAUGUUCUAGUACGUAUUCUUUUGGAUGGUAUACGAUUCUGGGGAUUAUUAGAACUUGAAUGCAGAAAUCUGAAUUAUUAAAGGCUUUUACCGAUAGGCAGGGUGUAACUCCAAGUUGUUGACAUACCCAUUUAGUAUUGACUGCUGGCAUAAGCCAAUCAGAAGGCUUGUUUGUUCUGUUAAUGCUUAUUGUCGUGUUGCAGAGGUGUUGCAUAUCUGCUGGAACCUUCCCUACACACCUUCCUUGUCCACUAACCUGGGACAGUGUAAUGCCUGAAACACUAUCUCUUCCCUUUCUCCAGAGACACUCCUUUGGAUUUGUACCAUUUAUUUCUCUUGCCUCAGAUGUAAUCCCAAUAGCUUCAUAAAAGGGUGGAUUUAUCAUAUAGCAAAGCCAGCACCCCUUGGUUAAGUUAGGAUAAGUAUGAUUCAAAACUCCAAAAGUAGCUUGCAUAAUUUUCCAUAAGGUUGUAUACUUCUGCACUAAUAUCUGAGGUUCUUGAUCAAUUUUGUUUGAUUUUAUAACAUUAUCUCUGGUUUUAUUACUCUCCUUUAAGUCAUUGCUUAUUACUGGAUUUGGGCCUAUAGGACUAGGGUCAUGUGGAGCUACCUCCUUUUUUAUUUGUAUCAGAUUUCCUGGAUCAUGUCCUUCUAUCCAAUGCCUAACCCCCCAUGUUUUGCCUAUUAACCAUCCAGAAUCACUUGGUUGAGUGACAUUUAGGUAAAGAAAGGUGCAGUUUCCAAGUAAGUUUUUCCCAGUCCAAGGCCACUCUUGUGGUCGUUUACACCCUGCUGGUCCAUGCCCUACCUUUAAAUAUUUGUCUAAUCCUCCACCCGGAGCCCACGCUGAUGCUAUUGUUUCACAACCCCAAUAGGCGCAGUAAUAAUGUCUAGGGUAAUUACAGUAUUGCUUCCCUGGGUUCGAGGCAGGGCACAUAUAGAAGCUUGUUAAAUUUAACAGCUGCCCACAUUUUGAACUUUGAGUUAAAUCACAAAUCCCAAUCUUAAAGCUCGGUGCUCCAGGUCCCGUUAUUGUCUGUAAAAUAUGACGGGUAUCGUGAUCCUCCCAUCUGCUUAAGGUCCAUUUAAAGGGUUCAUGUAUAUUAACUGUGGCACUCUGGAGGGGAAGCCAUACAAACAUAAAAACCCGUAGGAUUGAGUGAUACGCACUGCAGGAGAGGAUGUUACUUAUCAUGCUCAGUUUUACAUUCCCAUUUUCCCUCAUUCCGUUGUCACCAUUCUCAUACCCAUGAUGAUUUAUAUUCUUUUUCAAGGUUUGGGAGGGCCUCUCAACCCCACUACCUACCUCUCUGUCUCGCCUGUCAACUUGGUUGCUACAAGUUACAGGGUAAGCCAUCUUCUCGACAGCAGAGAUAUUCUUCAGGGGUGGGAUCGUUCCCUCUCUCCCACUUUGACCUCCGGGAGUUCCAGUUUUUCGCAUUCAACUGUGGGGUGUCGCACCUGAGCCUUUUGACUAAUUUGCGACACUUGACUUGGACUAUAUCCGUGAGGAAUGGACCUAGGGGUUCAUUGGAAUGGUAACAGUGGAAUUCAGGGUUUAUUCCUUUUACGAAAAUCUCCCACCACUCAGGGGAUCCUUUAAUCAAUUCCCGAGUGGCAACCUUGUAAUUUAGUACUUCAGAGGUCAAUCUGCGCUGCUCCAGCCAGCAGCGUUGACAUAUACUUUUCGGAGCUCUCCCCUUUCUGCAGUGAGCCCACCACAAUCCUUUACAGAUUUUGCAGGAAAAACAGGCAAAAGGGUAACAAUGACAAUCUAACCAGCUACACUUUACUCUAAUACUUUGAUGUUCAGCAUGGCCCUCCCCCUCCCAAGGUUUCUGCUCUUUUUCAAGUCGGAUGAACCGAUAAAAGGGCUGCUGGGCUGAAUCCUCUAGACGUUUACAGUAUCCUGGGGGUUUUGUUUCUCCCACCAGUUGUACUUGCAGUCCCCAGUUAUCCCCAACCCAAAUGUCCUUAGAGUUGAUAGUGUUCAUGAAAAUUAUUUGUAAGUCCUUUUUACUGUUAACUUUAAAUCCCCCGGCUUCCCGUCAAUUUUCCAGCUCGUUUCCCUGGAAGCUGUAUGGAAUCGAGUUGGAUCCACCGGCCCCUUUAUUCUGCUAGCAUGAGUCCAUCCCUUCUCUGCUGUGCGGACUGCGGAGUCAGUGGUGAUUAAAACCAGGUAUGGUCCGUCCCACUUUGGGGUGAUUGAAUCUUCUUUCCAGCUUCGGAUGAGGACCCAGUCGCCGGGUUGUACCUGGUGUAACACAAGAUCUAGGGGUGGUCUUUGGGCCCACAUCCCCUUUUCCCAUAACUGUUUUUUAUAUUUCAUUAAAGUGGUUAAAUAUUUAUUAAUACUUUGAUCAGUAAUGUUAGGAUUAGUUUGAACUUUUUCUAGGGAAUAGGGCAUCCCAUACAACAUUUCAAAUGGGGACAGUCCUAUAUCAGCUCGUGGCUGAGUUCGAACAUUUAAUAAUGCCAACGGCAGACAUUUUAUCCAGGAUAGUUUAGUUUCUAGUACUAAUUUGGUGAGUUGUUUCUUAAUUUCUCCAUUCAUUCUUUCUACCCUCCCCGAACUCUGUGGAUGCCAGGGGGUAUGUUGUUCCCAUUUUAUGCCCAGAGCUUCUGCUAGCAUCUGUGUUAUUUUUGAAGUAAAAUGGGGGCCUUUAUCAGAGUCUAUCGUCUCUGGGACCCCAUAUCUAGGUAUUACUUCUUCCAGCAAGGCUUUUGUUACUGUCCGAGCUGUCUCCCUGGCAGUGGGGAUUGCUUCCACAUAAUGUGUUAAAUGAUCCACAAUAACCAAAAGAUAUUUCAGUCUCCCUACCUUGGGGAGCUCAGUAAAGUCUACUUGCAGAUUUGAAAAGGGCUUCUUUGCCACUGGCCUCCCACCCAGGGGCAGUUUCCUUAGGUUUUUUCUGUUUACCCGUAGACAGGUUGGACAACUCCUAGUAAUUCCUUUCGCUAAGUCAUGUAGGCCCACCGUCAUGUAAUGGGUGGCAAAGUGAUCCACCAGUCCUUGAGCGCCCCAAUGCGUCCUCUGGUGUAAUUUACUGAGCAUCCGCUGAGCUACGGCUUUAGGUAGAACUUCCCUCCCAUCCUUUAACAGCCAUUUCCCCGAUUUCUCUUUUAUUCCUAAUUUUGUAAGCUUCUCCUGUUCUUCUAUUGUAAAUAUCAGCUUAUCCUGGGUAGUCGACUCAGGGUCUUUUGGGGUAUCUACAAGGUCUUUCCUAACUCCUUCGCUUAAGGUUAGUGUUUUAAUAAUUGCAGCUUUCUUUGCCUCAUAAUCUGCCGCAUUGUUACCCCUACUCCGGUAAUCCAUUCCCCGUUGAUGCCCUUUUAAAUGGACCACCGCUAUCCUUGUAGGGCCUCUCAAAGCCCUCAGGAGGGCUACUAUUAGCUUUCGAUGUAUUAAGUCCCUUCCCUGUGAGUUCACGAGGCCCCUUUCUUCCCAUAAUUUCCCAAAAGUGUGUACCACCCCGUACCCAUAUUUAGAAUCUGUAUAGAUGGUCCCCUCUUUUCCUUCUAAUAGUUCCAAGGCUCUUAGGAUAGCGUAUAUCUCGCAGGCCUGGGCUGACCAUGUUUUGUCUAGGGCUCCAGAUUCGAUUACUUCUAGGUCAGGCCCCCCCACUAUGGCAUAUCCUGAUCUUCUUUGACCUUCGACUACUCUGGAUGAUCCAUCAACAAACAAUUUCUCUCCAGUUUCUAAUUCUUCUUCUUCUAGGUCAGGUCUAAUUUUAGUUUGUUCUUCUAUAGUGAUUACACAGUCGUGCAUUAGUGAUUCAGUUUCGGGCUCUCCGAAAAGGAAGGAGGCUGGAUUUUGCAGAGUGGUGGUUUCUAAGGUAAAAUUAGGGGUUUCUAAUAAAAUCCCUUCAUAUUUCAGGAGCCUGGCAUCAGAUAUCCAUUUAUCUGCUUUCUGUUGCAUCACACUCCGUAUGUUAUGUGGAGUUAAUACUUUUAAAGUAGCAUUAAAAGUGAUUUUCCGUGAUUCUUCUACUAGUGCUGCACACCCUGCAAUUAUUUGCAGACAGCUAGGCCAUCCCCUACUCACGGGGUCUAGGAUUUUAGAUAGAUAGGCAAUAGGUUUCUUUUUCCCUGCCCAAUCCUGAGUAAGUACCCCGUACGUUACCCCAUCUGUGGUAUUAACAAAUAGAAAGAAGGGUCUAUUUAGGUCCGGGAGGCUCAAGACUGGAGCGUGGACUAAGGUCUCUUUUAAUUCUUGAAAUUUAGAUCUUUCUUCUUCUGUCCACUUAAGAUGACCAUCCUGGGUGAGUUUGUGAUAUAAAAAUCUUGCUUUCCCACUAUAGUUUUCAAUCCACUGUCUACAAUAUCCCGUAAGUCCUAAUACUUGCCGAAUUUGUCGUUUAUUUUGUGGUAGAGGGAGAGACAGAAUUGCUUGCACCCGGUCUGGGUCAAUUCUCUUUUCUCCCUUUUUCAAAUAAUGUCCCAGGUAUUUAACUUCCUCUUCUACAAAUUGUAACUUCGCUUUGGAGACUUUUAACCCCUUGGAUCCUAAGUAAUUUAAUAACUUGAUACUCUCCUCCCGGACUUUGUCUUCUUCGCUCCCUGCUAUUAACAAGUCAUCCACAUAUUGAAUUAGUUUCACUUCUGAGGCUGUCUUAUAAUCUUGUAAAACUUGUUCUAGGGCUUGCCCGAAUAAAUUGGGGGAUUCCGUAAACCCUUGGGGUAACACAGUCCACCGAAGUUGCUGCCGCCUUCCUGUAUCAGGGUCUUCCCACUCGAAGGCAAAAUAAUCUCGACUAGACUCGUCUAGAGGGCAAGCCCAAAAAGCAUCUUUCAGAUCUAUGACGCUAUACCACUCGUUCUCAGGUCCUAGUUUGCUUAAAAGAGUAUAGGGGUUUGCCACCACUGGGAACCGGGCUACGGUUCUCUUAUUGAUUUCCCUAAGGUCAUGCACCAAUCGGUAGGAUCCAUCUGCCUUUUUUACUGGCAGGAUCGGGGUAUUGAAAGGCGACAUACAUGGUUCUAGUAGUCCUUUGUUUAACAGCCUUUCAACUUCAGGUUUUAACCCUUUCCUCCCUUCUAGUGAAAUUGGAUACUGUUUUAUUCUUACCGGGACCUCGGGAUUCCUGAUUUUUACUGUAAAUGGGGUUAUAUUUAAUUUGCCCACGGUUCCUGGAUUAUACCAUACUUCAGGGUUUAUUUUCUCUUCGUCUUCUAAACGGAGGGGGCAGAGUCUAAUCUUUAACUCUUUUUCUACUACUUCAAUUUGAAUUCCUAAUUCAACAAUCAAGUCUCUCCCUAACAAAUUGUAGUCCGCUUCAGGAACUAAUAGGAAAUCACCCACCCCCAUCUUAGUUCCUGAUUCUACCAUCACCUCUUUAAUAAUUUGUACUUCAAAUGGUUCCCCCUUAGCUCCUAUUACUGUGGCUGUCUGUUUCGAUAAAUUACAGCCCUGAGGCAGGAAUUGAAUAGUAGAUCUCUCUGCCCCCGUAUCGACCAAGAAAUUUAUUUCUUGGCUCUGGGGACCCACCUUCAAUUUUAUCAAGGGCUCUUUUUGAUGUUUCCCGGUCCCCAUAAAAUAGAGCCCCUGACUCCCCUAUUCGAUUUUGAACUCCUCCUCGUCCUUAAGCCUCCUUCUGCACUCCUUUUUGAAAUGUCCCUUCUUACCACAAUAAUAACACACCCUUUCUCCUACCUUUCCCUUGUCACCCUCCCUAUUCCGAGUGACUCUCUUCUGUCCUUCCUCCGCCCGCCUGCUUUCCCUUACCGCAGCAACCAUCAUUUUCACCUGCUUCUUCUGACUUUCAUCCUCUCUUCGGACAUAAACCUUCUGUGCCUCUCGCAAUAAUUCCUCUAAACCCCUGUCCUGCCAAUCAUCCAUUUUCUGUAUCUUUUUCCUAAUAUCAUCCCAGGACUUAGAGACAAACUGGACUUUAAGAAUUGCCUGUCCCAUUGGGUCAUUCGGGUUUAACCCCGAGUACAGCUGAAAACUUUUCCUUAACCUCUCCAACCAUUCAGUGGGGGUUUCAUCCUUCUUUUGUCUGUCAUUAAAUGCUUUAUUUAUGUUCUGGCCCCUAGGAACGGACUCUUUUAUGCCAUCAAUUAAUAUGGUCCGAAAGUCCCGCAUGUUAGCUCUAUGGACCGGAUCCUGGUUAUUCCAAUUGGGAUUCUCGAGAGGCCAUUUGGUAUCGGCCCGCUGCUGGGCAUGUGCAGGUUGAGCAUCCCAGACCCGCAUACCAGCAGUUCUUAUCAUGUUCUUUUCCUCAACCGUGAAUAAAAUGUUAAGUAUAGAUUGUAAUUCCUCCCAAGUGUAUAUAUUAGGACCUAAAAAUUGAUCCACCCGCUCUGCCACGCCCAGGGGGUCUUCUAACAAAUUUCCCAUCUCCUUCUUAAAGUCUCUAACAUCCCCUGAACUCAAGGGCACCGAAAUGAAUCCAAUCCCCGGCUGUGGUCCCCCCAUGGGCAUUUCCCUUAAAGGAAAUAGUUUGCCUCGCGUCUUACUUCGGGUAAGAGGACCACGCGAGCCUGAGGGUUGAUCAGAGUCUGAGUCUGAUUCUUCCUCAUCCGAUUGUGGAGGAGGAGGGGGUGCAUUCGGCGCAGGGGGAAUGUAAGGCGGGGGUGCAAUAAUUACUUCUUCCGCUCGCCCCUUCUUUUUCUUUCCCCCUGAAACCUCCGAGAGUUUAAACACGAGCACCUCCGGUUUUUCUGUCCAGACUCGGGCAUAGGCACUCUCCUCAGGGUUAGGAGGUUGUUUAGUGUUUAUCCAACCAUUUAACAGUUGCUUUACCCAGUCUUCUGAGGACCCAAAGAUGGGCCAAAAAACACCUUUAGAAAUCUCUUGUCCUCCCCAUACUUCUAUGCAAUAGUGUAUCAUCUUUGCUUUAUCCUUCCCAGGUGCUCCUGGAAGGUGCUCCCAAUUCGUCAGCAUAAACCCUAAGGGACUAUCCUUAGGAAUUGGGGGAAGUUUUACCCCCACCGGGGAGGGGGAUUUACUCCUACUCUUCCCCUGCCCCAUGUCCUCCGGAGUACCUUCAAUCACUCACGACAGCACAAUCGCUUCCCCUGGUUCGUGGCCCAGGCCCUCGCGAGCUCUGGAAAACGCACUACUAAGGGUCCACAAUCACUUGGAGAAUCCGGCUGCCGGUUCUCCUCUCAUUCACACACACACUCGCCGUACUCCGGGAUCCCGAACCCCGCCCGGACGGAUCCCUCUAUACUUACGCGUCCUGCGUCUUCGUCCGGACUUUGUGCACAAAAUUUAAGGGGUACCCUGGGCCCGCUUCCCUUUCCUUUUUUUUUUUUUUGCUUUCGCUUUCUAGGCUUUUAGGUUCGUCGGUCGGGAUGAGGGUAGAAA